rnacentral:rRNA from 1 species
AACGAACGCUGGCGGCAUGCCUAACACAUGCAAGUCGAACGAGACCUUCGGGUCUAGUGGCGCACGGGUGCGUAACGCGUGGGAACCUGCCCUUAGGUUCGGAAUAACUCCCCGAAAGGGGUGCUAAUACCGGAUAAUGUCUUCGGACCAAAGAUUGAUCGCCUUUGGAUGGGCCCGCGUUGGAUUAGCUAGUUGGUAGGGUAAAAGCCUACCAAGGCGACGAUCCAUAGCUGGUCUGAGAGGAUGAUCAGCCACACUGGGACUGAGACACGGCCCAGACUCCUACGGGAGGCAGCAGUGGGGAAUAUUGGAAAAUGGGCGAAAGCAUGAUCCAGCAAUGCCGCGUGAGUGAUGAAGGCCUUAGAGUUGUAAAGCUCUUUUACCCGGGAUGAUAAUGACAGUACCGGGAGAAUAAGCGCCGGCUAACUCCGUG